rnacentral:rRNA from 1 species
CGCAUCGAUGAAGAACGCAGCGAAAUGCGAUAAGUAAUGUGAAUUGCAGAAUUCAGUGAAUCAUCGAAUCUUUGAACGCACCUUGCGCCCCUUGGUAUUCCGAGGAGCAUGCCUGUUUGAGUGUC